rnacentral:rRNA from 1 species
GACGAACGCUGGCGGCGUGCUUAACACAUGCAAGUCGAACGGAAAGGCCCUGCUUUUGUGGGGUGCUCGAGUGGCGAACGGGUGAGUAACACGUGAGUAACCUGCCCUUGACUUUGGGAUAACUUCAGGAAACUGGGGCUAAUACCGGAUAGGAGCUCCUGCUGCAUGGUGGUGGUUGGAAAGUUUCGGCGGUUGGGGAUGGACUCGCGGCUUAUCAGCUUGUUGGUGGGGUAGUGGCUUACCAAGGCUUUGACGGGUAGCCGGCCUGAGAGGGUGACCGGCCACAUUGGGACUGAGAUACGGCCCAGACUCCUACGGGAGGCAGCAGUGGGGAAUGUUGCACAAUGGGCGGAAGCCUGAUGCAGCAACGCCGCGUGCGGGAUGACGGCCUUCGGGUUGUAAACCGCUUUCGCCUGUGACGAAGCGUGAGUGACGGUAAUGGGUAAAGAAGCACCGGCUAACUACGUG